rnacentral:lncRNA from 1 species
UUUGACCUUUGGUUUGGCUUUCUCUGGAGCAAAUGUGGAGAAGAGGGUGUUAUUGGAUAUUAUUUUAUUGGGGCUGAGAGAGGUGUUGCUUCUCCUUUGGAGGAAGGGAGAGGUGGGACCCAUGAAGGAUGGGAUUGGGGCCACAGCCAGGUGAGCCCAGUUGCUUACCAGGCCUCCAUCGUGGUGGAAGUUUAUAAAGCCUCCCAGGUGUUGCUGAGUUGUUAUUUACUAUCCAUUGGGAGUUGAUAGGGCACCAGCUUAAGGCCCCACCAGCAUAAUUUGGGCCCUAGAGUCCUGGAGUCCAAUGGGCUGGACUCCGUAAUAGCAGCCCCACAUGGACCGGAUCCUGCUGAGUACUUUGGCGCCGCUGCCUUCUUGUUCGUGGGAUGUGACGGAGAGCCAUGGGCAGGACGCAACUUGGAGAUCCCCAACGGAGGCUACCUUCAGGCACACAGAGGGAUCCAUAGAGGGAUCCUCUACUUUUGGUAACUGGAGAAUCUACCUGGUCCCUGCGGGGGCCAUCUUUGUGGUCCUGGCCAGCCUCAGCCUCCUCUGCUUCUCCUCCAAAGUACGCAGGUGGACUCAAUCCUGCGAGUGUGAUGGAAAUCUAGAUGACCCAGAGGAAGACGGUUUCGCCAUCCCUUGGAAUAUCCCCAUCAUCGACCGGCCGGAGACCUACGGCCCCUGUGUGAGCGCUCCGCAGCCUGUGCCCCGCAUCCGGGGGCCCAGACAGGCCAGGAAAGCCCCUGCCCACUUGCCUUAUGCGCCCAAGGAGUUGGGGAUUCGGUCUCAUCGCUCUUCCCAGACCAGUGCAGACGGAAUGCUCCAGGGCUCCUCUUCAAAGGCAGACGGGUCUGGCUGUGGUUCCUCUUCAGAGGCCAUCUUUAGUAUUGAAGACUUGGACUGAACCCUUGGAGUAUUGGGCCCAAUACUUCAAGGAGAAAUGAAUCACAGAUUGAUAGUAUUUUAAUUCCUAUGUAUUGAACAGAUUGUUUCUUAUUAGUCCUUUCUUUCCCCCAAGUUGCUCUAACUCCUAGCAUUGCAGCUUUCGACUUUCACAUCUGUAUUUCUCAACCUUUAACCAGGAAUGGAUGAUGGGUUUCAUGUCAGGAAGUAUUGGAUCCACACUCCAAGUUUAAAACCAGACCUUUUUCUCCAAUAUUCAGCACCUCAGAGAGCAUUGAAAAUGAGUCAAAACCUGGAAUAGCUCUAAUGACAUGGGAGCCACCGCGAUCACUGCUUUUCCAGAGUUUUUGAAUAUCAAUUCCCAGUAUCCCUGGACAUCAAAUGUGUUGACUGGGGAUUCUGGGAGAUGGCGUUCAAAGAAAGAUUUAUGCUAAUCCUCCAUUCAAUGUGUUAGCUAAGACUGAAGCUUGGUAUUGUUCCCUUUUGGGGAUAAGGAUUUUGCAGAUCCUCCAACCAUGAUGACUACUGGUUUCACUGGUUGGGUGAUUAAGGUGAGCAGUUCAAAAAUAUGACAUCUCUCCAAAUUUGACUUCAGAGGAAACAAGUUUUGAGAGAUGUGACUCAAAUCCCUAUGUGUUAUUGCAUAGGAUAUUCAACCCUUUUCCUCUCCAGUUCUCGAAUCCAUAAUGCAAGUCCCAGCAUCCCUUACUAUUGACUUGGAAACCAGCAAGGUCUUAAACAGUAUUAGUCAAGAUCAGUUGUGUUGCCAAAUGAAACAGUUGAAUGAGCAAUUGCUUCAUCUAUUUUUUAGGAUCUUAAUUAUGGGGCAACUUUUGAAACGUUUGCUGUGUGAUUUAUUCCUAUCUAUUUUCAGACGACUAGGGGACGUUUUUGAAACUCUCUUAGGAUUAUGUGUUGUUAGAAGAUAGCUCCAAUCUUUUUUUUUUUUAAAGGAUUAGGAUUUCUUUUGUAUUAACCUGUGUUUUCCAUGUAUUGACCUUUGUUCCUGAGAUGCCUAAAGCUGCUUUUGAGACCAGAGGCAUAUGAAAUGCAUGCUUCCUUGAGUAGGCACCUCUUUUGACAAUAAAACGUGUGCAGUGUUUUCAUCUUGGCCUCUUCAAAUGAUUUAUUUUCCAUUUCAACAUUUAAAGCUUCCCUUGUAAUCAGCAUUUUGCAGUUACAACCUGGAACUUAUACCUCAGGCACACAAAAGAGCUUGGGAGGCUGCACCCCACACUGCCAUAAUAAUAAUAAUAAUAAUAAUAAUAAUAAUAAUAAUAAUAAUAAUAAUAAUAAUAAUAAAGCUGAUGACCCAAAAUGCAGACUCUGCAAGGAAACCGACGAAACCAUUGAUCAUAUCCUCAGCUGCUGUAAGAAAAUUGCACAGACAGACUACAAACAGAGGCACAACUAUGUGGCCCAAAUGAUUCAUUGGAACUUAAGCUUCAAGUAUCACCUCCCAGCAGUAAAGAACUGGUGGGAUCACAAACCUGCAAAAGUAAUGGAAAAUGAGCAUGCAAAGAUACUGUGGGACUUCCGAAUCCAGACUGACAAAGUUCUGGAACACAACACACCAGACAUCACAGUUGUGGAAAAGAAAAAGGUUUGGAUCAUUGAUGUCACCAUCCCAGGUGACAGUCGCAUUGACAAAAAACAACAGGAAAAACUCAGCCGCUAUCAGGACCUCAAGAUCGAACUUCAAAGACUCUGGCAGAAACCAGUGCAGGUGGUCCGGGUAGUGAUCGGCACAUUGGGUGCCGUGCCAAAAGAUCUCAGCCGGUAUUUGGAAACAAUAGACAUUGACAAAAUUACGAUCUGCCAACUGCAAAAGGCCACCCUACUGGGAUCUGCGCGCAUCAUCCGAAAAUACAUCACACAGUCCUAGACACUUGGGAAGUGUUCGACUUGUGAUUUUGUGAUACGAAAUCCAGCAUAUCUAUCUUGUUUGCUGUGUCAUAAUAAAAUAAUAAUAAUAAUAAUAAUAAUAAUAAUAAUAAUAAUAAUAAUAAUAAUAAUAAUAAUAA